rnacentral:rRNA from 1 species
AACGAACGCUGGCGGCAUGCCUAACACAUGCAAGUCGAACGAGACCUUCGGGUCUAGUGGCGCACGGGUGCGUAACGCGUGGGAACCUGCCCUUAGGUUCGGAAUAACUCCCCGAAAGGGGUGCUAAUACCGGAUAAUGUCUUCGGACCAAAGAUUUAUCGCCUUUGGAUGGGCCCGCGUUGGAUUAGCUAGUUGGUAGGGUAAAAGCCUACCAAGGCGACGAUCCAUAGCUGGUCUGAGAGGAGGAUCAGCCACACUGGGACUGAGACACGGCCCAGACUCCAGCGGGGGGCAGGAGUGGGGAAUAUUGGACAAGGGGCGAAAGCCUGAUCCAGCAAUGCCGGGUGAGUGAUGAAGGCCUUAGGGUUGUAAAGCUCUUUUACCCGGGAUGAUAAGGACAGUACCGGGAAAAAAAGCCCCGGCUAACUCCGG